GAGCAUGUGGUUUAAUUCGAUGCAACGCGAAGAACCUUACCUACUCUUGACAUCCAGAGAAUUUAGCAGAGAUGCUUUAGUGCCUUCGGGAACUCUGAGACAGGUGCUGCAUGGCUGUCGUCAGCUCGUGUUGUGAAAUGUUGGGUUAAGUCCCGCAACGAGCGCAACCCUUAUCCUUUGUUGCCAGCGAUUCGGUCGGGAACUCAAAGGAGACUGCCGGUGAUAAACCGGAGGAAGGUGGGGAUGACGUCAAGUCAUCAUGGCCCUUACGAGUAGGGCUACACACGUGCUACAAUGGCGUAUACAAAGAGAAGCGACCUCGCGAGAGCAAGCGGAACUCAUAAAGUACGUCGUAGUCCGGAUUGGAGUCUGCAACUCGACUCCAUGAAGUCGGAAUCGCUAGUAAUCGUAGAUCAGAAUGCUACGGUGAAUACGUUCCCGGGCCUUGUACACACCGCCCGUCACACCAUGGGAGUGGGUUGCAAAAGAAGUAGGUAGCUUAACCUUCGGGAGGGCGCUUACCACUUUGUGAUUCAUGACUGGGGCGAAGUCGUAA
rnacentral:rRNA from 1 species